GAGUUUGAUCGUGGCUCAGAACGAACGCUGGCGGCAUGCCUAACACAUGCAAGUCGAACGAACUCUUCGGAGUUAGUGACGCACGGGUGCGUAACGCGUGGGAAUCUGCCCUUGGGUACGGAAUAACUCAGAGAAAUUUGUGCUAAUACCGUAUAAUGACUUCGGUCCAAAGAUUUAUCGCCCAAGGAUGAGCCCGCGUAAGAUUAGCUAGUUGGUGGGUAAAGGCCGUACCAAGGCUACGAUCUUUAGUCUGGUCUGAGAGGAUGAUCAGCCACACUGGGACUGAGACACGGCCCAGACUCCUACGGGAGGCGAGCAGUGGGGAAUAUUGGACAAUGGGCGAAAGCCUGAUCCAGCAAUGCCGCGUGAGUGAUGAAGGCCUUAGGGUUGUAAAGCUCUUUACCCGGGAUGAUAAUGACAGUACCGGGAGAAUAAGCUCCGGCUAACUCCGUGCCAGCCGCCGCCGUAAC
rnacentral:rRNA from 1 species